rnacentral:misc_RNA from 1 species
AUGAGUAUAAGCCUGCUCCUCUGACCUUUUUGCCUUGUGAAUCCACUUCAGUUGGGGCUAUAUCAGAUUUGUGAAGGAAAGGCAGCACAUGUCACCAUUGAUUACGGGGAAUUUGUUAACGGCUUAGAACAGGAUGGAGAUAACAAAAGAUAGAAAGGGCAUUUCAAGUAGGUGAUUGGGUAUAUCUCAAGCCUCAGCCUUAUAGGCAGGUUUCAGCAUCUAUUCACCCUGUUUUUUAUGUUUCCCUUUUAGAAAAGAAAGUGGGUG